rnacentral:lncRNA from 1 species
CAAACCGAAGUGGGUCCGAUCCGAACCCAACCGUAAAGAAUCCAACUCGAACCGAGGAGGGUCCGAUCUGAACUGAACCGAACCGGAUCCGAACCGAGCCAGAUCCUGUCUGAACCGAACAGAAUAGGAUUCAACUUAAACCAAAGCGAAUCCGAUCAAAACUGAACCGAACUGGAUCCGAACCAAACCAGAUCCUAUCUAAACCGAGCCGAACGGGAUUCAACUUGAACUAAAGUGAAUUCGAUCCAAACUGAACCGAACCGGAUCCGAACCGAACCGGAUCCUGUCUGAACCGAACUGAACAGAAUUCAACUUGAACUAAAGUGGAUCCAAUCCAUAUUGAACCGAACCGGAUCCCGUCUGAACCAAACCGUAGAGGAUCCGACUCGAACCGAAGUGGGUCCGAUCCGAACUCAACCGUAAAGAAUCCAACUCAAACCAAGUCUUGAUGGUUCCCGAACCAAAGCAUAACGGUUCAACCCAAAUCAAGUCUU